rnacentral:tRNA from 4 species
GGGCGUAUAGCUCAGUUGGCUAGAGCGCUGCCUUCACACGGCAGAGGUCCGCAGUUCGAGUCUGCGUACGCCCACCA